CCCUGCCGGCCAGGGCCGGAGCGGCAGCCGGGCGGGGGCCGGGGCCGGGCUGGGGGCAGCGGGAGGCCGAGGAGGGGCGAGGUGUGGUUGAGGCCAGGGAAGGGAGGGAGGCCCGCGAGAGGAACGUGGUGUGGGACCCGGGCGGGGGCUGGGUCGAGACCCGAGGGGGAAGGGCUGGGGGAGCGGCCGCGGUGCAGGCAGGUGAGGAGGGGCGGGGGUGAGGCGUGAGGGCCCCGCAGGCAGGAUGGUCUGGGAGAAACUGCGAGAGGGCGGAUGGGAAUGCGGCCUGAAAGGGCCGGUGACCCUGGGGAAGGUCACAGACCAGGCAGAACUAGUGCGCCUGGGGCCUGGUGUCAGGCGGGGCGGGGGGUGGGGGGGUGGGGGGGGGGAAUAGGCCUGCCUGAGCUUGUCCUGCCAUCUCAGAUUUCAAGUAGAUCCCCUGGGCCUGGGUUGGCCUGUCCCCCUGAGCAGGCCCCCCAUGCUCCUGGCGGCCUCAGCCCCCGACCAGAUGAGGUGGGCAGGGAGUCCUCCAUCUCAGGCCCGCACAGCACCUGCACAGGGGCUCCCAACUGACUGCCGAGUUGCACUGAGCCUGGCAAGGACUGCUAGCAGCUGAGAUGCCCGCUCCCUUGGCGCUCUGAGGGGGAUGCAGAAUCACCAGUGGGCUCCGUAGACUGAGAGCUGGGGGCAGGUGUCCAAGGACUAUGACUACGGCUGUUGUGCUGAGAAUCCUGCCAGUAGCUCAGGAGAGGGAUGGUUGUAGAUGCACCAGGGUGAUAGCUGGCGCUGGCGUAAUGAUGUUGGAUUCUGGACACGCAUUGAGAUGGAGCUCUGCAACACCAAGGGUGAGGAAGCACUGUCAUCAUCAGCAUCGCCCCUUCCGGGUGCCUCACUCCAGCUUUCCAAGAGUUUCACGCACGUUCGUCCAUGUCUUAUCUCCUCAGCAGCUGCGGGAGAACAGACCUUGUGGACAGCGGUUCACCAUGAGGAAGCUGAAAUGAGAUACUGGAUGUGAGGAGGGAAGGUUAAGAGAUAACUUUUGCCAUGACCAGCACAACCUUCAGGCACCCCCAACCUCAAAGUUUGACCCGAAGGGUCCAGAUGCCGGGGACAGCGCAGGAAGGGGUUAUAUUAAAGUUUUAGCAGGGACCCUUUUGUACCUGGUCCCUUUGGUUCCACCAAGAGGGAAGAGGAGGAAGGGGAAAAGGAAUCUCCACAGUAACUGUUUCCCCUCCCUCUCAAAAGCCUCAUAUUCUCCUGUCAGCUCUCACAUGGAGAUCUGUCUUUCUAGAUGUUUGCCUGAAAUGUUCUCUCCCCUCUGAUCCAAGAGGGACAUUUCUGUGCAUUCUUGGAGACUGAGGCCCAGGAGCCUAGCUCCACGGCUGACAGAUCCUGUGGGACCCCCCAGAAGUGCUAUCUCCCUCUGUGAUAGGGCUCUGUAGUGACAAGUGUCACUCAGCCUCAGCCGCCACGCUGUGAUGUGACUGCUGCUGUUUCUUCCAUGCCCCCACCAGCUGAUAGGUUCCAAGACAAGGCCUCUGUCUUCAUGAGGGCAGAAUGGAGCCUGAACCCUGUCUCAGCAGGUGCUGCCUGGCCAGUGGCAUUUAACCUCUCCGUCCCUCACCUGCUCACAGCUCUUCAGGUAGAACACCUACCCCCACAGAGGUGGUUGAGAAGUCAGUGAGGAAAUAUAAGCAAAGCACUUGAAAUUUACUACACCAUAAGAAUACAAAAAACAUGAGCUCUCAUUCUGCGUCUCUGUCCCCCUUGCGCCCACAACAUAGCAGCUUGAGUGAAAGAGUGAAUGAAUGAAGUAGGAGAUCUCCAAGGUCUGGAAUCAGCCUGCAAACGUUUUCCUUUAGGACUUCACAGAACAAUUAGAAUCUGUAAUGAUGUCUGAGACGUUCAUCUUCACGGCAGGCCACCCUGGGAAUAGCAGACCCCAGCAGAGUACUCAAGGCCAUUUGCUUGAGUCCUGAGGUCACUGGGGCAGAGGUUUCAGGAGGAGAAGCUACCAAAUAUUGUCAGCCUGACCUGCCCAGAGAAAGAACCACUCAGAGCCCUGGAUGGGCCCCGCGGUCCCUGGACUCAGUCUCACCUCUGUACCGUUUUGGUCCUCACCCACAGCCUGGGCGGCUCUGACAGCUUCUGUGACCGCCCUGGAGGCAUUCAAGAGAUGGCAUGUGGAGAAGUUGCCCAGACUGUUUUCCAGACACUGGUAUUACAGGUUUGACAAGGAUGUGAAAAAUCACAGCCUGGAGGUCAAACGCAGCCCUGAGGCCUGCCGAUGCCCAGAAGUGGAAGAUGGCUCAGAGAGUAUAACUCGUGCUAAUCCCUAGAGCAAAUCUGGUUUACCAGGAGCCGUGGGGACAGGCUAAAGGCUCAGAGCAAAGAUAUUUGCUGAGAGGACGAAUGAGUAGAAGGAAGGAAGUGGGGCUGCGCUGGAUGGGUGAACUCGAGGCCUGGACAUCCCAGGAGACAGGCCCGCAGAAGUGGGAAUCCUCUUGCUAAAGCCAGUGGUUCAGACUGAAGGGGCCGAUGGGAAUCCAGAAGGGGCAAAGGACCAAGGCCUCAGCAUGCUGACAGAACGUCUCUUCUAACCUUCGACCUGAGCAUGCUGGGUGGAAGUCCUGUGGUCUGGUGGCCUGCACCCCAGGAGGUGCAAGCCAUGAGCAGCCACCGUAGGGCAGGGGCAGGCAGCCCUGCAGCCCUGCCUGGAGGAACCUGGGAGGCAUGCCAGAGCCUGUGGGCUUGGGGCUUGAGUAAUAACCGCUGCCGCGCCUUGGGAUGGUUUGUAAUUAUGAAAUAUUUAAUACAUACAAAACAUAUAAUCAGGGGGCACCUAUGUAA